UGGGGAAUAUUGGACAAUGGGCGCAAGCCUGAUCCAGCCAUGCCGCGUGUGUGAAGAAGGCCUUAUGGUUGUAAAGCACUUUAAGCGAGGAGGAGGCUACUUUAGUUAAUACCUAGAGACAGUGGACGUUACUCGCAGAAUAAGCACCGGCUAACUCUGCGCCAGCAGCCGCGGUAAUACAGAGGGUGCAAGCGUUAAUCGGAUUUACUGGGCGUAAAGCGCGCGUAGGCGGCUAAUUAAGUCAAAUGUGAAAUCCCCGAGCUUAACUUGGGAAUUGCAUUCGAUACUGGUUAGCUAGAGUGUGGGAGAGGAUGGUAGAAUUCCAGGUGUAGCGGUGAAAUGCGUAGAGAUCUGGAGGAAUACCGAUGGCGAAGGCAGCCAUCUGGCCUAACACUGACGCUGAGGUGCGAAAGCAUGGGGAGCAAACAGG
rnacentral:rRNA from 1 species